AUUGAACGCUGGCGGCAGGCCUAACACAUGCAAGUCGAACGGUAACAGGAAACAGCUUGCUGUUUCGCUGACGAGUGGCGGACGGGUGAGUAAUGUCUGGGAAACUGCCUGAUGGAGGGGGAUAACUACUGGAAACGGUAGCUAAUACCGCAUAACGUCGCAAGACCAAAGAGGGGGACCCUCGGGCCUCUUGCCAUCGGAUGUGCCCAGAUGGGAUUAGCUUGUUGGUGGGGUAACGGCUCACCAAGGCGACGAUCCCUAGCUGGUCUGAGAGGAUGACCAGCCACACUGGAACUGAGACACGGUCCAGACUCCUAAGGGAGGCAGCAGUGGGGAAUAUUGCACAAUGGGCGCAAGCCUGAUGCAGCCAUGCCGCGUGUAUGAAGAAGGCCUUCGGGUUGUAAAGUACUUUCAGCGGGGAGGAAGGGAGUAAAGUUAAUACCUUUGCUCAUUGACGUUACCCGCAGAAGAAGCACCGGCUAACUCCGUG
rnacentral:rRNA from 1 species